CAGUAGCCGCGGUAAUACGAAGGGUGCAAGCGUUAAUCGGAAUUACUGGGCGUAAAGCGUGCGUAGGCGGUUUGUUAAGUCUGUUGUGAAAUCCCCGGGCUCAACCUGGGAAUGGCAAUGGAUACUGGCAAGCUAGAGUGUGUCAGAGGAUGGUGGAAUUCCCGGUGUAGCGGUGAAAUGCGUAGAGAUCGGGAGGAACAUCAGUGGCGAAGGCGGCCAUCUGGGACAACACUGACGCUGAGGCACGAAAGCGUGGGGAGCAAACAGGAUUAGAUACCCGUGUAGUCCCUGUCUCUUAUAC
rnacentral:rRNA from 1 species